AGCGAAUACACAGAGUAGAUCUGGAGGCAUUACCACACUGGAGCAGACACAAGGUCCAGCUGGAGAACAGCGCUGUACAACUGGGUGACAAGUGAAACUGGAGCUUCAGCAGCUCCCUUCACUCCAGUGCCAGCUCCUUCAUUCUGGUCCAAUAAAAUGCUGGUUUGUCUGUGCCAUAAAAACUUGCAGUCCCGUGGAAAUGCUGGGCACAAAGCACCUGCAACUCCACACGGUCACUCAGAGGAGGAGAACGUGGUACUGAGAGCUCAGCCCGCCGCAGCCAAGGAAAGGAGUUAUGGUAGAGGUGUUAGUCACUGCCCAAAACACUGAUGUGACAAACAGUCAUAGCCUCAGACUUACUGGUCCUCUGAGUCCUCAAUUAGCCAGUUUAUAUAGGAAAAAAAACCUUGAGGAAGAGAAAGUUCGCUCUAAUAGGUGUGUGGUUAUCUUUUCCUUAAUUUUGUUUUUGUUUCAUGACUCUUAUGACUGGUGGAUUUACAAUCCAUCCAGAGGAACCCAUCGGACAUCACUUUCUAGGAACGCUGCUUUUUAUUAUUUUAUUAUAUCAUUUAUUUUCUCAUCUUGAUCCUGAUCCUGUAAAGCCUUUCCAUCACGUGUAGAUGCAGUGGUGCUCCUGUGGCUUGUGUGGCAGCAGCUCAAGGGACCCCAGCCCUGCUGGAGCAAGGACAGGACCCAGUGGCAGCCCAGCGUUGCCCCAGGGGCUUCUCUGGCUCCUGAGCAGCAUCGUCCUGAGCUGCUGAAGUCAAUGGGAGGUGAGCCAGUCCUUCAGAGUAACUUCACACGAAUCAUUCCUGAGCAGACUUUAAAUUAAUUGAUUCUGUUUGCAAAUGUGAAAGGGAGGAAAUGGUGCGUCAUUGUUGAGCACGUGCCAUGCCCACUGAGGUGGUGCAGAGGGACCUUUGCCAACCAGCGUCGGGCAUGCAGAAGUAUUGGGCCUGAUUCUUAAGGUGUGAGUGCAGCUUGCACCGUGGGAUUAACCGAAGUCGUUCCCAAUUUGCUCUGGCGGUGAUUAUGUGAGAGGAAAACGAAGCCCAUCGAUUGUCUGAAGAAUCAAAAUCAAAGCUGGAGGAAGGAAAGGUGCAGUGAAAUUUCAAGACUGACCAGCCAUCUGUGCAAGCAUCAGCUACCUCCUAACCAACAGGCAGAGUCCAUCUCCUUCAAACGCUUUCUGCCAAGCUUGUCGGCUGUGCUGACAGCGCUGGGUUCUCUUGCAGCAGCACCCGCAGGCACAGCUCUGCCGUUUUAAAGGCUUUCGGGAUUAGGCCAGGGCUCCUGCACAGCUGCGGUGCCUUGCCCCUAUUUUACAUCCACUGAAAGAUUUUUGAAUGGACUUCAGAAGCCAUUAGGAACCCAAAUGUCGACUUGCACUUGCAAAAUGUCUCUGGUUAAUGUUUUCCUACUGACGCUCUGCUUUGCUCCCCGCCUGCCAGAGUUUCCUGUGACCUAUUUGAAAUAUCACUCUCCUAAGUGAAAAUGUGCCUCUCUUUUUCAAACUUGCAAAACUCACAAAAAUAAAUAGCCUAAUUUGGCCAGUUAAUAGCCCUCUCCUGGGGCUCCUCUCAGCAACUAAGAGGCCUUUUAAAUACAACAUUUGUGACUGCGUCAUUAAAGCUCUGCAUGAUCCAAGCAGACUAAACCAAAAAGAAAGAAAUGCCUUAUUUGAUCUAAGUUUUCUUUUCUUUUAAAUAGUGACACUAGAGACCCAUUUAUUUUUAAUUACACAAUUGCUUUAUUAAAAGCCUAAAUCCUGCAGUCCCUAGUCAUUGCUCAGGCAAAACUGCUAUCAUUGAAGGAAGGACCUGUAGGAGUCAAUCCUAAAAAUAGGGCAGCUGACAAAGUCUGCCUUUCAAAAUGGGUUUGCUUUAUUUUUGAAGGAUUUCCCAAGUCAGAGAGAACUGGCCUCUGCUUUCCUUUUCAGUUCUGCAACAACUUGAAAGCUGAAUGUAGGAAAGCAGUCGCUCCAGAAAAAAAACCUCAGUUUUGCUUUCAGGUUGGCUGUGAUGCCCUUUCCAUCCUUAAACACUACCCCCUACACAGCCACAUUAAUAUUUACUGGCACAACAAGGCAUGCAUGAGGGUUAGCUCUGGCUCUGCCCAAACGAAUCUCUGAGCCACCAUGAGCCUGGUGGCCCCUGCGCAGAGGUUCCCCCUUGCACCCGUCCAUGGGAUGACUUGCACUGUGUUCAGCUGAGCUGCCAGCGGGGUUGCCGGCCCCUAAACACCUGCCCUGUGCUCCUACCAAACACAGAACCUCCUGCAAACCCUCCUGGAGCUGCUGAGAGGCUGCCAGAGGGCAGGGUCAGUCCUGUGCCUCCGAUCUUGUGCUAGUACACAGGCUGUGCUACCCAAACACAUUUCUGUCUUUGGACUCCAUGCGAAGGGUAGAUCUCCUUGCCAGGUUAAGGUGGUGCUGCUAGCAGCAGGAGACAGAGAAGGCUAGGCAGCCACGUAUACUAGAUUAUAUUCCUGGGCUAAACUCCAGAGCCUUCAAUUUUAUUAUCUAAUUACCCAACCGAAGUCAUUCAUCUUUAUGUUCCAGUCUUACCCACAGACCCCAGUUUAAAUGCAGCUCUGCUAUGUGAAGUGCUGCCCAGGCACUCUCCACUUGGAAAAACUCACAAUUUCUCAGCUUUAUUUGCUCAGACUGUGUUUUCUUAGUGUAAAGGACGCAUGGCAGAAAUCCCAGCCCUGGUCAGUGGCAGAGGUCUAUGUUAGGCUGUGCUGAGAUGGACAUGGCUGCAUUAUCACAGGCAACUGUGGCAGGGGAAGCAAGAGAAAAAACCCUCUAAUUUUAUAUGAAGGCUGUGUAGCCCGAUGUAGUCUUCAUCACCAGCAUGACACACCAUCAGAUUGCAUACAGAGCUUUGUGGUGUGGCUCACCGAGAUAUAUGGCUUUGUCACCAAGGAUAAACAUCAAGAGUAAAUAAAAACAACGGGGGGAAAAAGCUCCCCCCAGAAGUUAAGGAGACAUCAGGAAUGUGGACACUGGAGCCCAAGGAGGCACCAGUCCUGGUGUUCCAUCCUUUUAAACUCUUCAGGAGAAAGCAGAAGCUUGGCCUUACCCCUCUGCCCUCGAAUGCCCGUGGCCAACCUGUGGUGGGACGCCCCCAGCCAUGCGUGCCGGUGAGGGCAGGGCAUGCUGGAUGUCAGCCCUCCUCUCCGUAUGUUGCUGUAGUGUAUAUGUAAUCCAUGUACCAUGCUGGGACAGAUGCUCCCUGAUUAGCAUAACCCUGCCCCUGGGAGGGGCUUAGCUUAUAAAUAUGCUGCUUUUUCUA